ACUUAUGGAAGGGCCGUAUUUAUUAGAUAACAGACCAAUAUUCUUCGUGUCUAUUGUGGUGAAUCAUAGUAACUAAUCGGAUCGUAUGGGCUAGUCCCUCGACAAACCAUUCAAGUUUCUGCCCCAUCAGCUUUCGAUGGUAGUGUAUUGGACUACCAUGGCUUUCACGGGUAACGGAGGAUUAGGGUUCGAUUCCGGAGAGGGAGCCUGAGAAACGGCUACCACAUCUAAGGAAGGCAGCAGGCGCGUAAAUUACCCAAUUCUGACUCAGAGAGGUAGUGACAAGAAAUAACGGGCCGGGA
rnacentral:rRNA from 1 species